AACAAUAAAACAACAACAACAACAACCACCACAAAACCCCAACAUAGGAACAGCAUCUAGAGACAAACUUUGCCCCAAGAAGGUCCACAGAAAAGGCACACAGUGAUUUCACAGCAGCCCUGCGAGACAGGUGUCAGUAAUUGAACCCAGGACUCAUGAAUGCCAGGCGAACAAUUUACACCCCCAGCCUGGCUUGUUAUUCUUGACAAGUUCUUGUCACCACCACCUGUUGUGACUGGUUGACCUUCACGAGCCUUCUGUGAGUCAGGUUAAGUGUGUUUCCCUGUGUGAGUCAGUCCCAUGUUGACGGACUCUCAGAAGUCAUAUAACCUGUUUGUGGCUCUGAGUUUAUAUUUGCCCGUAACUAUGUGUUACAGAAACAAUUGUACAGCUCUUUAACAACACCAUCGGAAGGUUGAUGGUUAACAGUUAGAAUUUUUCACUGAGAAAUAAAUCACAAUCAUCUCCGAUUUCCCUGUAUGGACCUGUAGUUCUUGAGUGUGUAGGGAAUCUUGCUUCCUGUGUAUACCAGAAGCCUACAUGGAUGUGAUCUUUGGAGUUACAUCUCCAAGUUGAGCCCAGCAGUUACAAACUGCAAAACCAUUUCACUGCCUCCCCCAGUAAACAUAAGAACAGAACAAGCCUGGGGUUUCUUUUAAACGACAGCACAUUCACUUAAGAAAGAAGAUAAUUCACCCAAGAGCACAGAACAUCGUCUUCCUGUCUUCCCCGACUACAGCCUGAAAAGUCAGGUCCCUUAAGGGACGUGUUAUUUUUAACCAGCCUUUGCCGCUCAGAGUAAGUGAAGAAAGGAUUUAGUCUUUUAAACAUCUGAUUUUCUGAAAGUGCCAGACUCUAAAAGCCCUUUGCUUUUUGUCUUCUGGCUGUAUGUUUACUGGGGAGCUGGCACUGGGGCCUAGUUUGUAUCCUGUACCCUCUCUUCCUCGUCAGCUUCUGGCAGCCCGAGCAGAGGGAGUAGGUAUCUUCAAUUCUUGCUUCAACCAUUUUACAGGCCACCAUGAUGGACUGCAAUCCUUCCAAAACCAUGAUCUGUCACAGUGUCAUGAAAGUAACUAAUACAGGGACGAAUCAACUACCCCAGCCUUGAGCCGUCAGAGGGACCUUGCCAGCUUUGCUCCUGAGUUAGGCUCUCACUGAACCGGAGUUCACUGGUAGAAUGAGUGGUCUGAGCGUGCUGAGAUCCGCCUGUCUUUGCUGCUCCAGCACUGGACUAUAGAUGCGUACGGUCAUGCAUGGCACUUAGGACUCCUAUGGGAGGAGAGUGGAGAUGCACCCAGAAGCUCAUGGGCUAGCUGGCCUGGAGUACACAGCUCAACAGCGGAAACAAGAUCGGCCCGUCUCAACAAGGUGGAAGCUGAGGUACAAGUCCUGAAAGUUGUUCUCUGACCUCCACAUACACACUGCGGCAUGGGAAUGCCCUCCCCCAAUGAGUAAAUGUUCCUGCGAAGUCAUGUUCUGAUGAGCCAUCAUACAUUGAAAAUUUCAUUAAGUCAAUCUUCAUGUAAAAUACCCAGUUUUCCUAAUGUCAUAGCUCAGUGUACCCCCACCCAGUCAAGCUUAACACAAUGGCACUAACCUAUAGUUGGGUCUGCCAUCCAAAAGAAAUCCUAUUGCAUGAUAAAGUUCUAAGUAUUCUUCAUAGUAUUUCUUGAGUACGGUGCCCCUUGUGUUGGAGAGCUGACUGGGAACUGCUGCCUCUCCUGCCUGGUGAGGGAAGAUUGUUCUUCAUAUAGCUAGCUUGGGAAAUUAAAGACAGCAUUGCUUUUU